rnacentral:rRNA from 1 species
AUUGAACGCUGGCGGCAGGCCUAACACAUGCAAGUCGAGCGGAGCGGCGGACGGGUAAGUAAUGCCUAGGAAUCUGCCUGGUAGUGGGGGAUAACGUCCGGAAACGGGCGCUAAUACCGCAUACUAUCAGAUGAGCCUAGGUCGGAUGAGCUAGUUGGUGGGGUAAAGGCCUACCAAGGCGACGAUCCGUAACUGGUCUGCGAGGAUGAUCAGUAAAACUGGAACGGAGACACGGUACAGAAUCCAACGGGAGGCAGCAGUGGGGAAAAUUGGACAAUGGGCGAAAGCCUGAUCGAGCCAUGCCGCGUGAGUGAAGAAGGUCUUCGGAUUGUAAAGCACUCUAAGUUGGGAGGCGUUACCAACAGAAUAAGCAACGGCUAACUUCGUGCCAGCAGCCGCGGUAAUUC